GCAUCAGUGGUGCAGCGGGUUAGAGCACGCACUCCCAGAUAGAGUGAGAUGGGGGUUCGAGUCCCUGCUGACGCA